AAAUGAAUUGACGGGGACCCGCACAAGCGGUGGAUGAUGUGGUUUAAUUCGACGCAACGCGAAAAACCUUACCUACCCUUGACAUGUCUGGAAUUUUGCAGAGAUGCGAAAGUGCUCGAAAGAGAGCCAGAACACAGGUGCUGCAUGGCCGUCGUCAGCUCGUGUCGUGAGAUGUUGGGUUAAGUCCCGCAACGAGCGCAACCCUUGUCAUUAGUUGCUACGAAAGGGCACUCUAAUGAGACUGCCGGUGACAAACCGGAGGAAGGUGGGGAUGACGUCAGGUCAUCAUGGCCCUUAUGGGUAGGGCUACACACGUCAUACAAUGGCCGGUACAGAGGGCAGCCAACCCGCGAGGGGGAGCCAAUCCCAGAAAACCGGUCGUAGUCCGGAUCGCAGUCUGCAACUCGACUGCGUGAAGUCGGAAUCGCUAGUAAUCGCGGAUCAGCUUGCCGCGGUGAAUACGUUCCCGGGUCUUGUACACACCGCCCGU
rnacentral:rRNA from 1 species